GACGAACGCUGGCGGCGUGCUUAACACAUGCAAGUCGAACGGCAAGGCCCUGCUUUUGUGGGGUUCUCGAGUGGCGAACGGGUGCGUAACACGUGAGUAACCUGCCCUUGACUUUGGGAUAACUUCAGGAAACUGGGGCUAAUACCGUAUAGGAUCUCCUGCUGCAUGGUGGGGGUUGGAAAGUUUCGGCGGUUGGGGAUGGACUCGCGGCUUAUCAGCUUGUUGGUGGGGUAGUGGCUUACCAAGGCUUUGACGGGUAGCCGGCCUGAGAGGGUGACCGGGCACAGUGGGACUGAGAUACGGCCCAGACUGCUACGGGAGGAAGGAGUGGGGAAUAUUGCACAAUGGGCGGAAGCCGGAAGCAGCAACGCCGCGUGCGGGAUGACGGCCUUCGGGUUGUAAAACGCUUUCGCCUGUGACGAAGCGUGAGUGACGGUAAUGGGUAAAGAAGCACCGGCUAACUACGU
rnacentral:rRNA from 1 species